CCUAACACAUGCAAGUCGAACGGUAACAGGAAGAAGCUUGCUUCUUUGCUGACGAGUGGCGGACGGGUGAGUAAUGUCUGGGAAACUGCCUGAUGGAGGGGGAUGACUACUGGAAACGGUAGCUAAUACCGCAUAACGUCGCAAAACCAAAGAGGGGGACCUUCGGGCCUCUUGCCAUCGGAUGUGCCCAGAUGGGAUUAGCUAGUAGGUGGGGUAACGGCUCACCUAGGCGACGAUCCCUAGCUGGUCUGAGAGGAUGACCAGCCACACUGGAACUGAGACACGGUCCAGACUCCUACGGGAGGCAGCAGUGGGGAAUAUUGCACAAUGGGCGCAAGCCUGAUGCAGCCAUGCCGCGUGUAUGAAGAAGGCCUUCGGGUUG
rnacentral:rRNA from 1 species